rnacentral:rRNA from 1 species
AGUUUGAUCAUGGCUCAAAUGAACGCUGGCGGCACGCUUAAUACAUGCAAGUCGAGGGACAACGGGUUUGUAGCAAUACGAAUGCUGGCGACCGGCUGACGAGUGCUGAACACAUACACCACCUUCAUUUAGAUGGGGAGUAGCCCAGAGAAAUUUGGAUUAAUACCCCGUAAUUUUAUGAUGAGGGAUCACAUUAUCAUUAUAGCUCCGGCGCUUAAUGAUGGGUGUGCGGGUGAUUACGUAUUUGGGGGGAUAACGGCCCUCCAAGCCUGCGAUCAGUAACUGGGGUGAGAGCAGAACAAGUCACACGGUCACUGAGACACGGGCCCGACUCCUACAGGAGGCAGCACUAAGGAAUAUUGUGCAAUGGAGGCAACUCUGACCCACCCAUGCCGCGUGUAGGAUAAAAGCCCUCUGGGUUGGAAACUUCUUUUAUUUGGGACAAAAAAGGGCUUUUCUAAGUCAACUGACGGUACCAGAUGAAUAAGCACCGGCUAACUCCGUGCCAGCAGCCGCGGUAAUACGGAGGGUGCAAGCGUUAUCCGGAUUCACUGGGUUUAAAGGGUGCGUAGGUGGGUUGGUAAGUCAGUGGUGAAGUCCCCGAUCUUAACUUGGGAACUGCCAUUGAUACUAUCAGUCUUGAAUAUUGUGGAGGUCAGCGGACUAUGUCAUGUAGCGGUGAUCUGCUUACAUAUGACAUAGAACACCAAUUGCGAAGGCAGCUGGCUACACAUAUAUCGACACUGAGGCACGACAGCGUGGCGAUCGACAGGAUUAGAUACCCUGGUAGUCCA